UACGGAGGGUGCAAGCGUUAUCCGGAAUCACUGGGCGUAAAGGGCGCGUAGGCGGUCUGUUAAGUCUGGCGUUAAAGCCUGGGGCUCAACCCCAGAUCAGCGUUGGAUACUGGCAGGCUAGACGGCUGGAGAGGCGAGUGGAAUUACCAGUGUAGCGGUGGAAUGCGUAGAUACUGGUAGGAACACCCAUUGCGAAGGCAGCCCGCUGGACAGCACGUGACGCUGAGGCGCGAAAGUGUGGGGAGCAAACCGGAUUAGAUA
rnacentral:rRNA from 1 species